GCCCCCUUAGCUCAGUGGAUAGAGCGCCGGUCUCCGGAACCGGAAGCGCAGGUUCGAUUCCUGCAGGGGGCG
rnacentral:tRNA from 1 species